rnacentral:rRNA from 1 species
UACAGAGACUGCAAGCGUUAUUCGGAUUCACUGGGCGUAAAGGGUGCGCAGGCGGCCAAGUGUGUUAGGCGUGAAAGCCUGGGGCUUAACCCCAGAAUUGCACCUAAAACUACAUGGCUAGAGCAUUGGAGAGGGUAGCGGAAUUCGCGGUGUAGCAGUGAAAUGCGUAGAUAUCGUGAGGAACACCAGAGGCGAAGGCGGCUACCUGGACAAUUGCUGACGCUCAGGCACGAAAGCGUGGGGAGCAAAAGGG